rnacentral:rRNA from 1 species
UACGAAGGGGGCUAGCGUUGCUCGGAAUCACUGGGCGUAAAGGGCGCGUAGGCGGCCAUUCAAGUCAGAGGUGAAAGCCCAAGGCUCAACCUUGGAAUUGCCUUUGAUACUGUUUGGCUUGAGACCGGAAGAGGUAAGUGGAACUGCGAGUGUAGAGGUGAAAUUCGUAGAUAUUCGCAAGAACACCAGUGGCGAAGGCGGCUUACUGGUCCGGUUCUGACGCUCAUGCACGAAAGCGUGGGGAGCAAACAGG